GAUAAGCCAAUAUAUCUGCCUGUUGAGCCUACAGUUAAAAAUAAUUAUAGAGAACAUGGUGAUGCUUCAGAAACUGUCAGUUUCUCUGGGGAGGAGGUCUUGACUGCAAUUCUUGGGUGAGAGUUUUGGACAAGGAAAACCCAGAAAGCUGAGACAUGGAGUGUCUUGGGGGAUGUAUUUUGUGCAUGUCUGUGGAAUUAGGAAGUGGGAGUACUGUUGUACUAGGCUUGGGCUCUCUUACUUGAGGAGAAGAAGGAUUCAGAG